UGGGCGUCGAGCGGCGGACGGGUGAGUAAUGCCUAGGAAAUUGCCUUGAUGUGGGGGAUAACCAUUGGAAACGAUGGCUAAUACCGCAUAAUGCCUACGGGCCAAAGAGGGGGAUCUUCGGACCUCUCGCGUCAAGAUAUGCCUAGGUGGGAUUAGCUAGUUGGUGAGGUAAUGGCUCACCAAGGCGACGAUCCCUAGCUGGUCUGAGAGGAUGAUCAGCCACACUGGAACUGAGACACGGUCCAGACUCCUACGGGAGGCAGCAGUGGGGAAUAUUGCACAAUGGGCGAAAGCCUGAUGCAGCCAUGCCGCGUGUAUGAAGAAGGCCUUCGGGUUGUAAAGUACUUUCAGUUGUGAGGAAGGGUGUGUAGUUAAUAGCUGCAUAUCUUGACGUUAGCAACAGAAGAAGCACCGGCUAACUCCGUGCCAGCAGCCGCGGUAAUACGGAGGGUGCGAGCGUUAAUCGGAAUUACUGGGCGUAAAGCGCAUGCAGGUGGUUCAUUAAGUCAGAUGUGAAAGCCCGGGGCUCAACCUCGGAACUGCAUUUGAAACUGGUGAACUAGAGUGCUGUAGAGGGGGGUAGAAUUUCAGGUGUAGCGGUGAAAUGCGUAGAGAUCUGAAGGAAUACCAGUGGCGAA
rnacentral:rRNA from 1 species